rnacentral:rRNA from 1 species
GAUGAACGCUGGCGGCGUGCUUAACACAUGCAAGUCGAACGAUGAAGCCCAGCUUGCUGGGUGGAUUAGUGGCGAACGGGUGAGUAACACGUGAGUAACCUGCCCUUGACUCUGGGAUAAGCCCGGGAAACUGGGUCUAAUACCGGAUAGGAGCGCCUGUCGCAUGACGGGUGUUGGAAAGAUUUUUCGGUCAUGGAUGGACUCGCGGCCUAUCAGCUUGUUGGUGAGGUAAUGGCUCACCAAGGCGACGACGGGUAGCCGGCCUGAGAGGGUGACCGGCCACACUGGGACUGAGACACGGCCCAGACUCCUACGGGAGGCAGCAGUGGGGAAUAUUGCACAAUGGGCGGAAGCCUGAUGCAGCGACGCCGCGUGAGGGAUGACGGCCUUCAGGUUGUAAACCUCUUUCAGUAGGGAAGAAGCGAAAGUGACGGUACCUGCAGAAGAAGCACCGGCUAACUACGUG